rnacentral:misc_RNA from 1 species
GCGAGUAUGGCCCUCACGGGUCUAAUCCACCACAAACACCUUUGUGAACCAGUCAGGGGGACUCGGCCGUGAAAGCCCAGGCGGUUAGCGGAAGGGCCCUCCUUUGCAAACCCGUUUAGAAGUCUUGAAAGUACUUUUGUAUAAUCUAGUA